rnacentral:rRNA from 1 species
GCCUGCUUGCCGCGGUAUUUUGACCGUGCAAAGGUAGCAUAAUCAUUUGUCUCUUAAUUAGAGGCUGGUAUGAAUGGCGAGACGAGAAAAUGACUGUCUUUGAAUUUCAUUUUUAAGUGAAAAAGCUUAAAUUCUUUUGAAGGACGAUCAGACCCUAUAGAGCUUUUUUGUUGGGGCGACAAUAAUUGACCCCUUAAGAAGGGUUACAAGACUAAGUUACCUUAGGGAUAACAGCGUAAUUUUUUUGGAGAGUUCUUAUCGAUAAAAGAGUUUGCGACCUCGAUGUUGGAUUAAGAGAUUAGCAAGGUGCAGAAGCUUUGCAGGAAAGUCUGUUCGACUUUUAAAUUCUU